UACAUGGGGUGCAAACGUUGCUCGGAAUUAUUGGGCGUAAAGGGCUCGUAGGCGGUUUGUCGCGUCGGGAGUGAAAACCAUGGGCUUAACUCAUGGCUUGCUUCCGAUACGGGCAGACUAGAGGUAUGCAGGGGAGAACGGAAUUCCUGGUGUAGCGGUGAAAUGCGCAGAUAUCAGGAGGAACACCGGUGGCGAAGGCGGUUCUCUGGGCAUUACCUGACGCUGAGGAGCGAAAGUGUGGGGAGCGAACAGG
rnacentral:rRNA from 1 species